UAUUUUUAAAAAGAGCUUCAGUAUAUGAAUAUGUGAUGUUUAAUAUAAGCUUAAAAGUAAGAAGUCCCUUCCCUUAUUUUCUUAGAGUACAACUGUAGGCAAUUAGAAUACAUUGAAGUGGGUUAAAAGGCAGAACCUAACUUGAACUUCCUUUUGACCACCUGUACGGUAUAUUCUCAACACUGGGGCCAUUGGUUUUGUGGCUUUGUUUCCUGCUCACUGGACUGCCUGGAGGAUGGGCUUAGGGUGUGACUUUGCUCAUUUCCUUUUUGUCACCUCACAAAGCCCUGCUUUGUUUGCUUUAUCUAAGACCUCUGUGCUACCUAGCUAAGUUUGGCUUCCUGUCCAAUGCUGUUCACUCUGUCUCCAUGGAUCCAGCUCAAUUGGAAGAAAAAGCAGAUGAAGGCCUGAAUGUCUACUGAGUUUUCAGUGACUUCCUCAAACUUCUCACUUACCUUUCAGUGCUGGCAUCGUCCAGGUCAUAGGAGAAAGUAGUAGGGGUGACUCAAAUAUUUAGUAUUUGCACAGUAAAAAUGUCCAGCUAUGCCAGUUAACAUCUCUGAAAGGUACGGAUACAAGUUAUCUACAGGGUAACACCUGUAGAUAUGAUGCAACAGGCUUAUGCCAUUGGAGAGUGAAUAGUCAACCUUCUGAAAACAGUGUACACCACCGGAAGGGCAAGAAAAAAAACUACAAUAUAGAACAUCUUUCUGACCUUGAGGUCAGGAAGUCCUCCUCGACAAGACACAAAAAAGAAAAAUCACAAAGGAAAAGAAUGACAACUUGACUCCAUCAAAAUUAAAAACAGGUGCACAUCAGAAUAUACCAUAUAUACAAUUAAAAGAUAAGUAAUGAUAUAGAAGAAACUAAUUGCCUCACACAAAGCAAACUUGGACUGCUUUCUAGAAAGUAAAAAGGAAUCCUAAAAUAAUCAAUAUGAAAAAGACAAACAACCAAAUAAAACAAAAUAAA
rnacentral:lncRNA from 1 species